GUCUACCGCAAUACCACCUUGAACGCGCCAGAUGUCUUCUGAUUUCGGAUGCUAAGCAGGGUCGGGCCUGCUUAGUACUUGCUAGUGCUUAGAUUUUGUAUAUGCGUGAGCCCGCCAGCCAAAGGUGCUGCUGGUA
ensembl:rRNA 5S_rRNA 5S ribosomal RNA